rnacentral:rRNA from 1 species
UACGUAGGGGGCUAGCGUUGUCCGGAAUCAUUGGGCGUAAAGAGCGUGUAGGCGGCCCGGUAAGUCCGCUGUGAAAGUCGGGGGCUCAACCCUCGAAUGCCGGUGGAUACUGUCGGGCUAGAGUGCGGAAGAGGCGAGUGGAAUUCCUGGUGUAGCGGUGAGAUGCGCAGAUAUCAGGAGGAACACCUAUUGCGAAGGCAGCUCGCUGGGACGUAACUGACGCUGAGACGCGAAAGCGUGGGGAGCAAACAGG